AAGGGAUUAGCUCAAUGGUAGAGCAACCGUUUUACACACGGUGGGUUAAGUGUUCGAAUCACUUAUUCCUUA
rfam:Colletotrichum chlorophyti strain NTL11 CCHL11_scaffold198, whole genome shotgun sequence.